rnacentral:rRNA from 1 species
GAUGAACGCUGGCGGCGUGCCUAAUACAUGCAAGUCGAGCGAACAGACGAGGAGCUUGCUCCUCUGACGUUAGCGGCGGACGGGUGAGUAACACGUGGAUAACCUACCUAUAAGACUGGGAUAACCUCGGGAAACCGGAGCUAAUACCGGAUAAUAUAUUGAACCGCAUGGUUCAAUAGUGAAAGACGGUUUUGCUGUCACUUAUAGAUGGAUCCGCGCCGCAUUAGCUAGUUGGUAAGGUAACGGCUUACCAAGGCGACGAUGCGUAGCCGACCUGAGAGGGUGAUCGGCCACACGGGAACUGAGACACGGUCCAGACUCCUGCGGGAGGCAGCAGUAGGGAAUCUGCCGCAAUGGGCGAAAGCCUGACGGAGCAACGCCGCGUGAGUGAUGAAGGUCUUCGGAUCGUAAAACUCUGUUAUUAGGGAAGAACAAAUGUGUAAGUAACUAUGCACGUCUUGACGGUACCUAAUCAGAAAGCCACGGCUAACUACGUG